AUCUUCAGGGCGAGGUGCAAUUCCUCACCGGCAGUUACAGCCUGCGAACUUUGCUUUUUUUGCAAAGCCGAUUCGGUGCAAUUCCGAAGCCGACGGUCAUAGUCCGGACGGAAGAAGAA
rnacentral:ncRNA from 1 species